rnacentral:rRNA from 1 species
UACGUAGGGAGCAAGCGUUGUCCGGAAUCAUUGGGCGUAAAGCGCGCGUAGGUGGCCUCGUAAGUCCGCUGUGAAAGUCAAAGGCUCAACCUUUGAAAGCCGGUGGAUACUGUGAGGCUAGAGUACGGAAGAGGCGAGUGGAAUUCCUGGUGUAGCGGUGGAAUGCGCAGAUAUCAGGAGGAACACCAAUAGCGAAGGCAGCUCGCUGGGACGGUACUGACGCUGAGGCGCGAAAGCGUGGGGAGCAAACAGG